AAUCAACGCUGGCGGCGUGCCUAACACAUGCAAGUCGAACGCGAAAGUUGUUUUCGGAUAAUGAGUAGAGUGGCGAACGGGUGAGUAACGCGUGGGUCACCUGCCCCGAGAUGGGGGAUAAGCCGGGAAACCCGGUCUAAUACCGCAUAAGCCUUACGAGGGAAAGCCUUCGGGUGUCUUGGGAGGGGCCUGCGUCCGAUUAGCUAGUAGGUGAGGUAAGAGCUCACCUAGGCUGCGAUCGGUAACCGGUCUGAGAGGACGGACGGUCACACUGGGACUGAGACACGGCCCAGACUCCUACGGGAGGCAGCAGUGGGGAAUUUUGCGCAAUGGGGGAAACCCUGACGCAGCAACGCCGCGUGGAGGAAGAAGGUUUUCGAAUCGUAAACUCCUGUCCGGAGGGAAGAUGAUGACGGUACCUCUGGAGGAAGCCCCGGCUAACUCCGUG
rnacentral:rRNA from 1 species